UGGGGAAUAUUGGACAAUGGGCGAAAGCCUGAUCCAGCCAUGCCGCGUGUGUGAAGAAGGCCUUAUGGUUGUAAAGCACUUUAAGCGAGGAGGAGGGUACUGGUAUUAAUACUACCAGGUACUGGACGUUACUCGCAGAAUAAGCACCGGCUAACUCUGUGCCAGCAGCCGCGGUAAUACAGAGGGUGCAAGCGUUAAUCGGAAUUACUGGGCGUAAAGCGCGCGUAGGUGGUUCGUUAAGUUGAAUGUGAAAGCCCCGGGCUCAACCUGGGAACUGCAUCCAAAACUGGCGAGCUAGAGUAGGGCAGAGGGUGGUGGAAUUUCCUGUGUAGCGGUGAAAUGCGUAGAUAUAGGAAGGAACGCCAGUGGCGAAGGCGACCACCUGGGCUCAUACUGACACUGAGGUGCGAAAGCGUGGGGAGCAAACAGG
rnacentral:rRNA from 1 species